CGCAUCUGUGCAUGCAGCAUAUCAAUAAGCGGAGGAAAAGAAACUAACAAGGAUUCCCCUAGUAACGGCGAGUGAAGCGGGAAGAGCUCAAAUUUGAAAUCUUAAAGGGUUUCCCUUUACGAAUUGUAGUUUAAAGAAGUGUUUUCCUGUUGAGGUUUUGGUAAAGGUUCUUUGGAAUAGGACAUCAUAGAGGGUGAGAAUCCCGUAUUUGACCUUUACUUUCAACUUUGUGAUACACUUUCAAAGAGUCGGAUUGUUUGGGAAUGCAGUCCAAAAUGGGUGGUAAAUUUCAUCUAAAGCUAAAUAUUGGCGAGAGACCGAUAGCGAACAAGUACCGUGAGGGAAAGAUGAAAAGAACUUUAAAAGAGAGUUAAACAGUACGUGAAAUUGUCAAAAGGGAAGCGUUUGACACCAGUGUUGUUUUUCUGAAAAUCAAUUAAAGAACUGUUUAUGCUAAGCUGUUUAGACUUUAUCAGCUAACUGUUUAGUUUUGAGCUUUUCUUUAAUGCACUUUUCAGUUAACAAGUCAACAUCAAUUUCUUUUGCUGUAAAAAAGCUUGAGGAAGGUGGCUUGAGAUUCGUCUUAAGUGUUUAUAGCCUCUUGCCUAUGCAGUCGGAGAGAUUGAGGUCUGCAGCGUAGAUCCUUCGGGGCUAAAUGCAUUUGUGCUAAGUUAUAGCAUUUUAUAGACAACUUGUUGACUAUGAUUUGUCUUGUAGCUUACUCGCUUAUGUUAUUUUACCUACGCUUAGGAUGUUGAGUCAUCACACAUCUCU
rnacentral:rRNA from 1 species